rnacentral:misc_RNA from 1 species
AAGUCUCAGUCCCCGAGCGAAAGAUAUAAUGGAUCUUUUUGCACAAGCGUGCUUUCUCCUAACUAUAGUGUUUCAAGCAUUUGAUGGGAGAGAAAUUAAUCCAGUGUUGAGCAAGUUCGCCUUGCACAGUAAGUAUUGGUCCCAGAAGCUCUCUAAAGCUGCCGAUGGAUCCACCGUUUUGACAACAUCUUAUCGGUUUCCUAGCAGUAUGACAGUUGAUAAGCAACCAACAUCACAGAACUAUAAUCUGGUUCAGUCUGGGCUGGUUCCCGUGGACUGUAGUGAUGUUCACAGGGUCUGGCCGAGGGCCCCCACUGGCAUAUACCGGAUCUAUCCGGGAGGAGGUCAAGGUCACAGUGUAUAUUGUGACAUGACCUUGGACGGGGGAGGAUGGACGGUAUUUCUAAGAAGAAUGGACGGUUCUGAAACGUUUAACAGGAAGUGGGAAGUGUAUCAAAGAGGAUUUGGGAAUGUCUCCGCCGAACAUUGGCUUGGUCUGUAUUACUUAUUAUGAUUAUGACACAUGAUAAACGUCAUUUAAAGGUGUUUAUAACUCCUUUCAGCCAACUGUGUAAUGCAAGAAAUAUAAAGCUCUAGAAAUGAAGUUUAAAUGAUUGUAAUCAAAUUACCUUUUAUUUAUAUAUAUUUACAUUCAGUAUAUUUCCCCUAAUGCUUGCUUUGGAAAUAUGCGAUGUUCGAUUUUCUAAAAAUACACUUUGCUUUGCACAUACAAACAUCUUUACUUGUUUUAAGUAUAUCUAUUUUUGUAAAAUUAAAUGAACCUUUCAAUCUUACAUAACUAAUUUGAUAUGUACUUCUGAAAAAUAAUCAUUAAUAUAUAUCUACUCCUUAAUGAAAAAGAUUUUUCUCCACAAAAAUUUUGGCACUAUAUUUUUGUCGCGGAAGCUAACUCAAUAACAUGGUAAUCUGGCUGUUCCAUGUAUGUUUCAUAUCCCUGUCUAAGUGCGCAAAUAAAUAGUUUAUAGCGGCAAUACACAAUCUUUCGUACAAUUAAAUAAACAAAUAAACAUCAGUAUGAAAAUAAUAUGUUUCACGGUGCGACCGUUGGGGCGAGCGCAGCAGGUGAUCAAAAAUGAAUUAUGAUAAAUCAAUAAAAAUAAAAGUAGUGACGUAAAGUACACGUAAAUGAAGAAUGCAAAAUAAAAUAAAUAUACCAAUUUUCCAGUGAAUUUUUAUUAUUCAUAAUUCAUAAGAUUUUUUAUUUAUUCAUAUACCAAUCUGAUUAAAAUCAGAUCUUAAUAACGCUCCGAAAUCCUGAUAGUCGCUGAACAAAGUGUAGCGACAUCAGAAUUUGUCGGAGCGGAUCAAAAAUCUGAUUUUGAUCAGAUUGUUGAUAUACUGGUCGCACGCCAGUAUAGAAUUUAUCUCAGAUAAAAUGUUGUUGAAUAAUAAAGAUUUUAACAUAAUGUUUUAACAUAAUAUUUCCUCUUUUCUUGCAGCAGACAUUUUUCUUAAACAAAUAAAAAUUGACUUAUCACAGAAUCCCCCUCCCCCGUUUAAAAAGAAAUCAAAUUUACGUAUAAAAAAAUUUGUUGAUCACAUAUUAAGGAAAAUGGAUCCCCCGGUAGCAUGUAAUACCGUAAAUAGUAGUGAAAAUAAAGACACUUUUGAGCAGCUAAAGAGCUAAAGGCAUACCACGCACUCCCCAUUCCUCACCCCGAUUAGAAUUUUCCUGAUUUUGAGAAUUUUAUUUUUCUUUUUGCUUGUGAAGAUUUUUUGAAUAAUGUUGCCACGCCCCAUUUAAAAAAAACGUUCCUGGAAAUUACCGUAAAUACAGUGAAUAAAAUAAAUGUGAGCAUUCAUUCAAAUGAGAGCAAGUUACAGCUGUUUCCUAUCUCUGAAGAAAUGUCUCGAUUCGUUAGCUCUGCAAGAUUUUGAGAAGAUUUUGGUAUUUAUAUUUCAGCAGAUUUACAAUAACUACUUAGAGUUGUUUCCCCUUAUUGUGACGUCAAAGUUCACGUCGGUCAAGUGUAGUCUGUCUCUUUGAAAACACACUAGAAAAAACUACGCGAAAAAUAUUGAUUGUUUACUUAAAAAGCAUGAUGUUCUGGAAAUUACACAAUUUAUCUGUUUCUCAAAAGUUUUACUUUGAUUCUUGCGAGAUGGUAUCCAGUCUAGUGAGAUCGGCUGACAUUGAGGAAUUGCAUUGUGGGUCAAAAUUUACUGACUCCAUAAAAUUCUGUCGGAUCAAUGUGCAAGAAAUCCAUUGUGACGUCACUCGAAAGGACGAUAACUCCGUUAGUCUUAAAAGGAACCAGAUAUUACACGAAAUAACCGUCCACGGGCUGUACGAAUUAAGAGUCAACCUGGAAGAUUUCGCCGGCAACAAGAGAUUUGCUAAGUACAGCCACUUCCGGAUUGGAAACGAGUCUGACGGAUAUCGUCUGACUUUGUCUGGUUAUACAGGGAACGCAGGUGAUUCGCUAGAUACUCCUAGAGGCCAGAAAUUUUCCACUUAUGACAGAGAUCUUGAUUCUGCAUCUGGAAACUGUGCUGUGACUGGUAGAGGCGGUUGGUGGUAUAAGGCUUGUUACAAUGCUCUCCUAACGGGCGUUUACUACAAAAACACGUCAAAUGUACCCAGGUGGCAGGGAAUUUUGUGGCCCACGUGGAAAGGAAUAUACUACUCACUCAAAUCUGCUACAAUGAUGCUGAGAAAGCAUCAAAUGAAAAGAAACAACUAAACAGAGAGUUUUAUUUUUAUGUGUUCUCUUACUUCGAAGAAAAUUUGUACUGAAAUAAAAACUUUAAAACGAG